rnacentral:lncRNA from 1 species
CUCCUGAAUAGCUGGGAUUAUAGGUGCACGCCACGACACUCAGCUAACUUCUUAUGAAGCAUGAAUGAGGUUAAUGGCUGUGGUGUUCUUGCAGGGACAUGAACUCUUCUUCAUAUGACGGAUUUGGAGGGUCCCAGCUGCUUUGGAACUUGUGAUAGGGGGUCUCGUUUCACAGCUGUAAGUCUGAGCCCAGGGAGAAGUCAGCAGCCCAAAAUCAGUCCAUCAGGGGCAGCAUCAGGACUGGAAACUGGGUUUUUUGGAUUCCAUAUCUUGCUUCCUGUUCUCUUCAUAGCUCCUCUCCUCUUAUCACAAACCAUGAACCACAGUGUGAGUGGGGCCGAUUAGCUUGAUCCCACUCAGGGAUAUAGCCGGGGUGGGGAGGGCUACACACUAGUUUCACUGCGAUUUUGCAAGCUGAUGAUGGGCUGGGUGUUCAAAGCUCUGUUUUCCAUCCUCUUCCUCAGCCUGAGCACAGUUCAGCAGGGUGGCGAGGACGUCACUUUGGAUGGCUGUAUCUUCUUCUCUCAGUCAAGGGUGAGGCUAAAGCCUGAAGAUGAAAGCUUGACUCCUUGUUGGGUAUAUCUGGCCACAGAUGAUUAGGGAGGAGGCCCCAGACUGA